CUUCAAUGCAUCAAAUAAAACAGUAAAAAUACAGUAAGUGGUCAUUUUACGAAAUCCAAUGUGGGAAGUGGGAACGCUUACGUAGCUACAUGCUCUCUGAAACACAAUCUCACUUGACAAACCAUAUACACAAGGCAAAAAAAAAAAAAACCCCCCAAAAUUGAAACAAACUACAAGCUGCCUGCGUUGAGUAUAAAAUUGGCGUCACAACCUCACUCUGAAAUCUCUUUUGCUAUUGACAAAUUUCACACCGAAAGCCGAUUUCAUGACCUAUCUACAUAAAUUAGUAGUCACAUAUUUGUUGAAAGUUUCUCUCUCCUCAGUGCUGCCACUGGAGAAGACUUUCGUCAGUUGGGGAGCCAGGUAUAAAAGGUACAAAACCCCGGCCACCAAAAACAGGCCGCAUGAAGGCGUCAUCAAAUUUUCGCCAAUAAUGGUGGACAGAGUGAGAAGAGGUGCUCAAGAGCAUUCUUAAACUGGUUGGGCGGGAAACAUUGCAGCUGCCUUUGUUGUCCUCUAAAUCUUGCCCAUUGAGAAGUGGCGCAGUGAAGGAUUUAGGACUAGACGGCUCAGAAGACAACAUGCUGGAAGUGUGUUUUGGAGAUGGAAGCAAGAUCCUCACUAGUGGUUUUGUCAUCAACCCGAACACCUGCACAGAGCUCACAAUUAGCUAACAGCGUCUUCGGUGUUUCAGGACAUGGGCAUGAGGUUCUACAUCUGGCCAAGCCCAUUUUAGAUUGGGCAGAGUUUGUUUAUAGCAGGUUGCCUCUCAUACUACUUUGCACACAAAUAAGAUAGCGUUUUACCACUGUGCUGAAAAGGACAACUGUAAUGGUACUGGUGAUCAUGAUUGCACUCCCACGCAACUGCGUAUAGCCUGAAUUGGUAAACUGCAUAGAUAAAAACAAGUACAUCAUUCAGUGGACGUGAACAUACUCCAUUAAGGGAAUGUAAAUCCCUUAACAGAAAGUCUACCGGAACCAUUUCCAAAACCACUAUGUUGCAGACCGAAAGACAUCCCUGUGUGUAGCAGCACUAUACUGCUGCUGGAGGUGGAACAAAGGGAACUAGUAUCAAAGGAUUAUAGCUAAAAAGGAAAAUUUCAGUUCACUUCGUGUAACAAAAGUAUGCGCAUUCAAUCUUCUUUACCUGAUUAUAAGCAAGAGCCAUUGAAACAGCACCACGCAUAAGACCAGCCCACCAAAUUGUUACCUGUUGCUUUAUGUCAAUUUUCUCAUUCUUAGUCAAGUUGGAUAGAAAGGAUAAGGGGAAAACAAAGGCUGCUCUUCCAACCAGAACCAAUCCCAAGAGUAUUGCACUCACGCCAACCGACAUCCCAGGGCUAUGGCUUACAAACUUCCAUUUCUCAAUGUCCAAGGCAUCCAUGCCAACGUACAGGAAAAUGAAUAUCUCAGCAACAAACGACAAAGUGGCAAAAGCAUGCUUAGUUGUCACUCUUGAACUUUCAGUCACAUUA
rnacentral:misc_RNA from 1 species